rnacentral:rRNA from 1 species
GCAUCGAUGAAGAACGCAGCCAGUUGCGAUAAGUAGUGUGAAUUGCAGAAUUCAGUGAAUCAUCGAAUCUUUGAACGCAAAUUGCGCUUUCUGGAUAUCCAGGGAGCACGCCUGUCUGAGCGUCGUUUAAUAAUCUACACGCUCUGGUGUGGGUAGGGAGUUCAUUUAACUACUUGUAGUUGACUGUCUCUUGAUGUUUCUGAACCUGGCAGAACCUUUACUGUGUACUGCUUGGAAGGCUCAACUUGCUUCUGUCCUUCUAAAGCAUGCAUGCAGUGAAGUCAGUCGGUUCAACUUCGAUGUUUAACAUUGAAACCUCUUGAUUUUGACCUCAGAUCAGACGAGACUACCCGCUGAAUUUAAGCAUAUCAAUAAGCGGAGGAA